AGGGAUUGAUUUGUAAGCGCACGAUUGGCUGGGGGUGGUGCGCAUGGAGAUAACGUAUGCCACGUCGAGCUCUCCAAACCUCUCUGCAGCUGCCGCUGCCACCAUGCCUAAUCGGCAAGUGAAGGUAAUCCCAUUCCAACACCCUUCCUCGUCUUCUCCUUCCUCCUCUCUUUCCGUCUCUUGGACCGACAGAUGGCGGUCGAGUUUGAAGCGGAUGACGUGGACGGACUGGAUCGAGCUCUUUUUACCUUGCUUCCGUUGGAUCCGGACCUACAGAUGGCGGGAAUACCUUCAGGUCGAUCUCAUGGCAGGCCUCACCGUUGGGAUUAUGCUCGUUCCCCAGUCCAUGUCGUACGCAAAGUUAGCUGGACUUCAUCCAAUUUAUGGGCUUUAUUCGGGUUUUAUUCCUAUAUUUAUGUAUGCUAUAUUCGGGUCAUCACGUCAGCUCGCAAUUGGUCCAGUGGCGUUGGUGUCUCUCUUGGUUUCUAAUGUCUUGGGUAGCAUCGUUGAUUCUUCCGAUGAGUUGUACACAGAGCUUGCAAUUUUGUUGGCUCUUAUGGUUGGGAUCAUGGAAUGUGUGAUGGGGCUGUUGAGGCUUGGAUGGCUUAUCCGUUUCAUCAGCCGUUCGGUAAUUUCUGGAUUCACCACUUCUUCAGCCAUUGUAAUUGCCUUAUCUCAAGCUAAGUACUUCUUGGGAUACAGUAUAGAAAGAAGCAGCAAGAUCAUACCACUUAUAAAGAGUAUAAUCGCUGGGGCUUCUAAGUUCUCUUGGCCCCCAUUUGUAAUGGGAUCCGUCAUGCUUGCAAUUCUCCUUGUAAUGAAGCACUUGGGAAAAUCAAAGAAGCAUUUGCGGUAUCUACGAGCAGCAGGUCCCCUUACAGCUGUCGUAUUGGGUACAGCUUUUGUGAAAAUAUUUCAUCCAUCUUCAAUUACUGUGGUAGGUGACAUACCCCAAGGCCUUCCAAAGUUUUCCAUUCCUAAAGAAUUUGGGCACAUGAAAUCAUUGAUUCCAACAGCACUUCUCAUUACUGGUGUAGCUAUAUUGGAAUCUGUGGGGAUAGCUAAAGCAUUGGCAGCAAAGAAUGGAUAUGAGCUGGAUUCAAAUCAAGAGUUAUUUGGUCUAGGCGUGGCAAAUAUUUGUGGUUCUUUCUUCUCUGCAUACCCUACAACAGGUUCCUUUUCAAGAUCAGCUGUUAAUCAUGAAAGUGGAGCAAAAACUGGCUUAUCUGGAAUUACAAUGGGAGUCAUAAUGGGAUGUGCUCUUUUGUUCAUGACACCAUUAUUUAAAGAAAUACCUCAGUGUGCUCUGGCCGCCAUUGUGAUCUCUGCUGUAAUGGGUCUGACGCACUCUAAACGAGCAUGGACUCACUACAAUGCCAUUGAUCAUGUGAUUAUUCUUUUCCAGGUGGACUAUGAUGAAGCGAUUUUCUUAUGGCGGGUGGAUAAGAAAGAUUUCCUUCUUUGGACCAUUACUAGCGUUACGACACUAUUUCUUGGUAUCGAGAUUGGUGUGCUUGUUGGGGUUGGUUUCUCCCUUGCAUUCGUCAUUCAUGAAUCAGCAAAUCCCCACAUUGCUGUCUUGGGGCGUCUUCCUGGCACCACUAUAUAUCGAAACAUCAAACAAUAUCCAGAAGCAUAUACUUACAAUGGAAUUGUGAUUGUUCGGAUUGAUGCGCCUAUUUAUUUUGCAAAUACUAGUUAUAUCAAGGACAGGCUACGAGAAUAUGAAGUCAUCAUUGAUGGAUCCCCAAAGCGCGGUCCAGAAGUUGAAAGAAAUUAUUUUGUGAUUAUCGAGAUGGCACCGGUUACAUACAUAGACUCGAGCGCGAUUCAAGCUCUGAAGGAUCUGCAUCAGGAAUACAAAUCACGCGACAUUCAGAUAGCCAUUGCCAACCCAAACCGGGAAGUUCUCCUCACGCUUGCAAAAUCUGGUGUUAUUGAUCUGAUUGGCAAGGAGUGGUAUUUUGUGCGGGUGCACGAUGCUGUUCAAGUUUGCCUCCAACACGUGCAGCAGAUGAAUGAAAUGCCAAAGGGGGCGGAUGGUUCAACCCCCAAGAAGCAAUCCAGCUUCUUGCAAAGGCUUUGGAAAGAUCAAAGCGAGGACAGGCCAAGUCCUGAAAGUGAAGCUCUCCUGUCUUCAAAGGUCUGACUGUUGGUUAAAACUUCAUCGUAUAUAUGCCAUGCCAGCAUUCUUGUGAAACCUAUAUUGGCGACGGCAGCCUUAUUUAAAGCUUCCGUCCAUCAGCAGGUCGAGGGUCCAUUGCUUGGCCUGUCCACCUCAUAUGCCUGUGUGGGUCAGAUGAUCACUUGCAACUGGUCAUGUGGCUAGGGCAUGCGAAUCCCUCCAUCCAUCUGACAUGCCGCACUGUGCAUGGGUGUCUCUCUCUCUCUCUUUCUUUUUUUCCUUUUUUUUUUUUCCACUUUAGGAUGGUUGCAAACAAUGGUUUCAAAACUCACUGAUUCGACUCAAAGCUUGGCUGAGUCCACCUCGAUUGUUGAGUUUUUCCAAUUGGGAUUAGUGAAAAACUCAGUUUUGAACCUGAAUUGUCUAAGUUUUUGUGGAGCUCAUUGGGUUGACCCACAGACUCAAUUGACUGAGCGCAAGUUGUCGUAACUCAAGCUAAGUCACUCCCCAAGUAAACUUUAAAAUCGAUGUGUAUACUAGACACAAUGGCCCAAUGGAACCUUGAUAUGACCCAAUGAAAAAGUGCCACAUUUGUGUAUCA